rnacentral:rRNA from 1 species
CCUACGGGAGGCAGCAGUGAGGAAUAUUGGUCAAUGGGCGCAAGCCUGAACCAGCCAAGUCGCGUGAGGGAUGACGGUCCUAUGGAUUGUAAACCUCUUUUGUCGGGGAGCAAAGCGAACCACGUGUGGCUCAUUGAGAGUACCCGAAGAAAAAGCAUCGGCUAACUCCGUGCCAGCAGCCGCGGUAAUACGGAGGAUGCGAGCGUUAUCCGGAUUUAUUGGGUUUAAAGGGUGCGCAGGCGGAGGUGCAAGUCAGCGGUCAAAUUGCGGGGCUCAACCCCGUACUGCCGUUGAAACUGCAUCCCUUGAGUGCGCGAGAAGUAUGCGGAAUGCGUGGUGUAGCGGUGAAAUGCAUAGAUAUCACGCAGAACUCCGAUUGCGAAGGCAGCAUACCGGCGCGCAACUGACGCUCAUGCACGAAAGCGUGGGUAUCGAACAGGAUUAGAUACCCCAGUAGUC